rnacentral:rRNA from 1 species
GACGAACGCUGGCGGCGUGCUUAACACAUGCAAGUCGAGCGGUAAGGCCCUUUCGGGGGUACGACGAGCGGCGAACGGGUGAGUAACACGUGGGUGACCUGCCUUUAGCUCUGGGAUAAGCCUGGGAAACUGGGUCUAAUACCGGAUAUGACCCUAUGGCGCAUGUUGUGGGGUGGAAAGCCUUGUGCGGCUAGGGAUGGGCCCGCGGCCUAUCAGCUUGUUGGUGGGGUGAUGGCCUACCAAGGCGACGACGGUAGCCGGCCUGAGAGGGCGACCGGCCACACUGGGACUGAGACACGGCCCAGACUCCUACGGGAGGCAGCAGUGGGAAUCUUGCGCAAUGGCGAAAGCCUGACGCAGCGACGCCGCGUGA